rnacentral:rRNA from 1 species
GGAAUAUUGGGCAAUGGAGGAAACUCUGACCCAGCGACGCCGCGUGCGGGAUGAAGGCCUUCGGGUUGUAAACCGCUUUCAGUAGGGAAGAAGCGAAAGUGACGGUACCUACAAAAGAAGCACCGGCUAACUAUGUGCCAGCAGCCGCGGUAAUACAUAGGGUGCAAGCGUUGUCCGGAAUUAUUGGGCGUAAAGAGCUCGUAGGUCGUUUGUUACGUCGGAUGUGAAAACCUGAGGCUCAACCUCAGGCCUGCAUUCGAUACGGGCAAACUAGAGUUUGGUAGGGGAGACUGGAAUUCCUGGUGUAGCGGUGGAAUGCGCAGAUAUCAGGAGGAACACCAAUGGCGAAGGCAGGUCUCUGGGCCAAUACUGACACUGAGGAGCGAAAGUCUGGGGAGCGAACAGGAUUAGAUACCCUGGUAGUCCAGACCGUAAACGGUGGGCACUAGUUGUGGGAACCUUCCACGGUUUCUGCGACGCAGCUAACGCAUUAAGUGCCCCGCCUGGGGAGUACGAUCGCAAGAUUAAAACUCAAAUGAAUUGACGG